GAUGAACGCUGGCGGCGUGCCUAAUACAUGCAAGUCGAGCGAACAGACGAGGAGCUUGCUCCUCUGACGUUAGCGGCGGACGGGUGAGUAACACGUGGAUAACCUACCUAUAAGACUGGGAUAACUUCGGGAAACCGGAGCUAAUACCGGAUAAUAUAUUGAACCGCAUGGUUCAAUAGUGAAAGACGGUUUUGCUGUCACUUAUAGAUGGAUCCGCGCCGCAUUAGCUAGUUGGUAAGGUAACGGCUUACCAAGGCAACGAUGCGUAGCCGACCUGAGAGGGUGAUCGGCCACACUGGAACUGAGACACAGUCCAGACUCCUACGGGAGGCAGCAGCAGGGAAUCUUCCGCAAUGGGCGAAAGCCUGACGGAGCAACGCCGCGUGAGUGAUGAAGGUCUUCGGAUCGUAAAACUCUGUUAUUAGGGAAGAACAAAUGUGUAAGUAACUAUGCACGUCUUGACGGUACCUAAUCAGAAAGCCACGGCUAACUACGUG
rnacentral:rRNA from 1 species